rnacentral:misc_RNA from 1 species
CGAACUUGAGCACGCACAC